AGGGUUUGAUCAUGGCUCAGGAUGAACGCUAGCGGCAAGCCUAACACAUGCAAGUCGAACGGUAACUUUUGGUGCUUGCACCGAAAGACGAGUGGCGAACGGGUGCGUAACGCGUAUGCAAUCUGCCUUUUACUAGGGUAUAGCCCAGAGAAAUUUGGAUUAAUCCCCUAUAACAUCAUUUAUUCGCAUGAUUAAAUGAUUAAAGCUUCGGCGGUAAAAGAUGAGCAUGCGUCCUAUUAGUUUGUAGGUGAGGUAACGGCUCACCUAGACUACGAUAGGUAGGGGCCCUGAGAGGGGGACCCCCCACACUGGUACUGAGACACGGACCAGACUCCUACGGGAGGCAGCAGUGAGGAAUAUUGGACAAUGGACGAAAGUCUGAUCCAGCUAUGCCGCGUGCAGGAUGACGGCCCUACGGGUUGUAAACUGCUUUUAUACAGGAAGAAACACCCCGACGUGUCGGGGCUUGACGGUACUGUAAGAAUAAGGAUCGGCUAACUCCGUGCCAGCAGCCGCGGUAAUACGGAGGAUUCGAGCGUUAUCCGGAAUCAUUGGGUUUAAAGGGUCCGCAGGCGGUUUUUUAAGUCAGAGGUGAAAUCCUGUAGCUCAACUGUAGAAUUGCCUUUGAUACUGAAAGACUUGAGUUAUUGUGAAGUGGUUAGAAUGUGUGGUGUAGCGGUGAAAUGCAUAGAUAUCACACAGAAUACCGAUUGCGAAGGCAGAUCACUAACAAUAUACUGACGC
rnacentral:rRNA from 1 species